CUUUAGGCAGGCGGCCCUGGAGAUCACGGCACGCUAUUGCCGCAGCGAGAUGGAGGAGUACGGGCGGUGCGUGGCCUCCAGCCCGGCCUCCUGGCAGCGCGACUGUCAUGGUCUUCGCCUCAGCAUUUCCCGCUGCGCCGCCGCCCAUCCGAUCGUCCAGCGGAUCCGCCAGGACUGCGCCGAGCCGUUCGCCGCCUUCGAGCAGUGCCUGAAGGAGAACCAAGCCUCCGUCAUGAACUGCAGCGACCACGUCAACGCCUUCUUGCUCUGCGCCGACCAAGUGAAGCUCUCCACGUGAGCUAUUCUACGUUCCCUUUUAACACAACAAGCCUGCAUGGCGUCCCACAAGUCCCGCAGAACCCGGCCACGGCACAGGGACCAUCACUCACCUUGGCUCUUUGGUUCUGGAACCAGACCUGUACCACCCGCACGGUCAAGCCCGUCUCGGCUGCCAGGGUCUCUCUUACCUGUCCACAAAACCCGGAGAGCUGAAUCAGAACUUUUUAAAUCGCACUACAAAAGGAUCCAAGCCAGCAAUUGUGUGCUGAGUGGCCUCCUUAUACCUUUCUGCAAGGUUUCGAGGAAACCUCAAACGAGGCCUUGAAUGCCCGGCGCUGCUGCGUGGUACUGGAGCAGCCCCUGGGUCCUUUCGUAUUUCUGACCACCGUGAUAUCACCGGUCGCUUGAAGAACACAUCCAGAACGUCGCUUAGCCGAGGCAGGCGGAGGAAAGCUUUGAGCGUGACGUGCUUCCAACUGGCCGACAGCCAGAGGGAUGGAGCAGGAGGAGGAA